UACGGGAGGCAGCAGUGGGGAAUAUUGGACAAUGGGGGGAACCCUGAUCCAGCCAUGCCGCGUGUGUGAAGAAGGCCUUAUGGUUGUAAAGCACUUUAAGCGAGGAGGAGGCUACUUUAGUUAAUACCUAGAGAUAGUGGACGUUACUCGCAGAAUAAGCACCGGCUAACUCUGUGCCAGCAGCCGCGGUAAUACAGAGGGUGCGAGCGUUAAUCGGAUUUACUGGGCGUAAAGCGUGCGUAGGCGGCUUAUUAAGUCGGAUGUGAAAUCCCCGAGCUUAACUUGGGAAUUGCAUUCGAUACUGGUGAGCUAGAGUAUGGGAGAGGAUGGUAGAAUUCCAGGUGUAGCGGUGAAAUGCGUAGAGAUCUGGAGGAAUACCGAUGGCGAAGGCAGCCAUCUGGCCUAAUACUGACGCUGAGGUACGAAAGCAUGGGGAGCAAACAGGAUUAGAUACCCUGGUAGUCCAUGCCGUAAACGAUGUCUACUAGCCGU
rnacentral:rRNA from 1 species